rnacentral:tRNA from 1 species
AAUAGCUCAGUUGGUAGAGCGCAACCUUGCCAAGGUUGAGGUCGCGAGUUCGAGUCUCGUUU